UACAGAGACCUCAAGCAUUAUCCGGAUUUAUUGGGCGUAAAGGGUCCGCAGGCGGCCGUGUGCGUCUUGCGUCAAAGGUUGGGGCUUAACUCCAACACUGCGCGAGAUACGACAUGGCUUGAGAGUGGGAGAGGUGAGCGGAAUUACCGGUGUAGUAGUAAAAUGCGUUAAUAUCGGUAAGAACACCAAAUGCGAAGGCAGCUCACUGGAACAUUUCUGACGCUCAGGGACGAAAGCGUGGGGAGCGAAAGGG
rnacentral:rRNA from 1 species